rnacentral:lncRNA from 1 species
GACUGAAAAUGUCAAGAAAGAUUCAGUGAGAAUCUUAUGUAAAGAAUCAACAAGUGAAGUCGAAAGAGAAGUUCGACAAGAAGAAGUCAGAGGUCAAGCAAGCACAAGAAGACCUCAAAGAACAAGACAAAUUCCUGCAAGGUUGCAAGAAUGUGUGAUUACAUCAGAUGAUGUGGUCGUGAUGAAGGUGGGCUGGUACAUUAUGAUUUUU